rnacentral:lncRNA from 1 species
GGGACUCUCAAGAAAUAGUGUGUAUCGAUUAAUUCAAAAGCUAUUAUCCUGAGGAGCAGUGGAUCUAAUGUAGAUCUCGUUGGAGUUGAAACUGUCUACACACGUCAUUUGACGAGAGGAGUAUCUCUUUUUCCAGUUGGCAUGGGCCAGUCUUCUCAGCCACCGCCCAAACAAUCAUAUACACAAGCAUCCAAGAAAGUGGACAUGUCGGGUAAUUCCGUACAUGAUGA